GCAGUCGAAGAUGAAGCCCAGCUUGCUGGGUGGAUUAGUGGCGAACGGGUGAGUAACACGUGAGUAACCUGCCCUUAACUCUGGGAUAAGCCUGGGAAACUGGGUCUAAUACCGGAUAGGAGCGUCCACCGCAUGGUGGGUGUUGGAAAGAUUUAUCGGUUUUGGAUGGACUCGCGGCCUAUCAGCUUGUUGGUGAGGUAAUGGCUCACCAAGGCGACGACGGGUAGCCGGCCUGAGAGGGUGACCGGCCACACUGGGACUGAGACACGGCCCAGACUCCUACGGGAGGCAGCAGUGGGGAAUAUUGCACAAUGGGCGCAAGCCUGAUGCAGCGACGCCGCGUGAGGGAUGACGGCCUUCGGGUUGUAAACCUCUUUCAGUAGGGAAGAAGCGAAAGUGACGGUACCUGCAGAAGAAGCACCGGCUAACUACGUGCCAGCAGCCGCGGUAAUACGUAGGGUGCGAGCGUUAUCCGGAAUUAUUGGGCGUAAAGAGCUCGUAGGCGGUUUGUCGCGUCUGUCGUGAAAGUCCGGGGCUUAACCCCGGAUCUGCGGUGGGUACGGGCAGACUAGAGUGCAGUAGGGGAGACUGGAAUUCCUGGUGUAGCGGUGGAAUGCGCAGAUAUCAGGAGGAACACCGAUGGCGAAGGCAGGUCUCUGGGCUGUAACUGACGCUGAGGAGCGAAAGCAUGGGGAGCGAACAGGAUUAGAUACCCUGGUAGUCCAUGCCGUAAACGUUGGGCACUAGGUGUGGGGACUAUUCCACGGUUUCCGCGCCGCAGCUAACGCAUUAAGUGCCCCGCCUGGGGAGUACGGCCGCA
rnacentral:rRNA from 1 species